AGCUUUGCCCAGUGGCAGUAUCAUAGCCAAUGAGGUUUAUCCGAGGCGCGAUUAUUGCUAAUUGAAAACAAUUCCAUAUAUGAUAGCAUCUAAUAAACACUAUCACAUAUUAAGUAAUUGUUAAAUGUUUUUAACUGAA